GUACACUAAUCAACAUACAUUAAAAUGAAAUUUCAUUGCAUACAGCUCUCAAAGGGUCACCACCUGCAAUAUACACUACAUAGACAUGACAAAAAAUAAAAACAAAAUUGUGCAUAU